rnacentral:rRNA from 1 species
GCCUACGGGAGGCAGCAGUGGGGAAUCUUGGACAAUGGGCGCAAGCCUGAUCCAGCCAUGCCGCGUGGAUGAUGAAGGCCCUAGGGUUGUAAAAUCCUUUCGUUGGGGACGAUAAUGACGGUACCCAAAGAAGAAGCUCCGGCUAACUUCGUGCCAGCAGCCGCGGUAAUACGAAGGGGGCUAGCGUUGUUCGGAUUUACUGGGCGUAAAGCGCGUGUAGGCGGGUCGUUAAGUUGGGGGUGAAAUCCCGAGGCUCAACCUCGGAACUGCCUUCAAAACUGGCGACCUGGACGCAAGCAGAGGCAAGUGGAAUUGCGAGUGUAGAGGUGAAAUUCGUAGAUAUUCGCAGGAACACCAGUGGCGAAGGCGACUUGCUGGGCUUGUAGUGACGCUGAGACGCGAAAGCGUGGGGAGCAAACAGGAUUAGAUACCCGAGUAGUCG